rnacentral:rRNA from 1 species
UGGGGAAUAUUGGACAAUGGGCGCAAGCCUGAUCCAGCCAUGCCGCGUGAGUGAUGAAGGCCUUAGGGUUGUAAAGCUCUUUUAUCCGGGACGAUAAUGACGGUACCGGAAGAAUAAGCCCCGGCUAACUUCGUGCCAGCAGCCGCGGUAAUACGAAGGGGGCUAGCGUUGCUCGGAAUCACUGGGCGUAAAGGGCGCGUAGGCGGACAUUUAAGUCAGGGGUGAAAUCCCGGGGCUCAACCUCGGAAUUGCCCUCAAAACUGCACGUCUUGAAACCGAGAGAGGUAAGGGGAAUUCCUAGUGUAGAGGUGAAAUUCGUAGAUAUUAGGAAGAACACCAGUGGCGAAGGCGCCUUACUGGCUCGGUACUGACGCUGAGGUACGAAAGCGUGGGGAGCAAACA